UAUAUUACGUUAUAAUAGUUAUAAUAAACAUAAACAAAACGUCUUUUGACCUAUUGAUUCUCUGUCCACUCAAGCGCUAGUUCGUUUACGAAACUCGAAACUUUAGGGUGAGUUAUCAGCACAACAGCAGUGUGGUAAUAUAGAAACAAGUUUUGAUGAGUUUGGGCUUCCUGUUUCAUCAAUGGAACAUUUACAAAAACUAGAAACAGAUUGCCUUGACAAUGACCUCCCAGGAUAACUUAUGCUGUUCGGCGUAAUCCUACAACAUGUCGCGGUACGGAUGCAAGGUUGCUUGUGCCAUUAAAGCAUGGCUUCGAUUCGCGAAAUUCGUAUGGAGGGAGGAGAAGAAACAUCAUUUUAACGAUUUUAGUUAUAUAGUUUUAUAUAUAGUUUAUGAUUUUUUUGUAUAUGUGUAAUAGUUUAAAUUAUUUUGUAACGAAUAAAAAUUUAACUAGAAACCAACAAAUUUAUU